UUGGAGGGCAAGUCUGGUGCCAGCAGCCGCGGUAAUUCCAGCUCCAAUAGCGUAUAUUAAAGUUGUUGCAGUUAAAAAGCUCGUAGUUGAAUUUCGGGGUUAGUAGGUUGGUCGUGCCUCAGGUAUGUACUGAUCUCACUGAUUCCUCCUUCCUGAUGAACCGUAAUGCCAUUAAUUUGGUGUUGCGGGGAAACUGGACUGUUACUUUGAAAAAAUUAGAGUGUUUAAAGCAGGCUAACGCUUGAAUACAUUAGCAUGGAAUAAUGAAAUAGGACGUUCGAUCCUAUUUUGUUGGUUUCUAGGAUUGACGUAAUGAUUAAUAGGGAUAGUUGGGGGCAUUAGUAUUCAAUUGUCAGAGGUGAAAUUCUUGGGUUUAUUGAAGACUAACUACUGCGAAAGCAUUUGCCAAGGAUGUUUUCAUUAAUCAAGAACGAAAGUUAGGGGAUCGAAGACGAUCAGAUACCGUCGUAGUCUUAACCAUAAACUAUGCCGACUAGGGAUCGGAUGAUGUUAAUUUUUUAAUGACUCAUUCGGCGCCUUACGGGAAA
rnacentral:rRNA from 1 species